CUUCUACUGGUUUUUUGCCGUUUGAACUUGUAUAUGGUUUUAACCCUCUAAUUGUUUUGGAUUUAAUGCUUUUAGCUUUGAGUGAUCUUGUUAGUUUAGAUGGAGCAAGCAAGGCUGAGAAGAUUAAAACAAUACAUGAGUAUGCUUGUGACAUGAUUGAAAAGAAGAAUAAGGCCACGGCUGAAAGGGUUAAAAAGGGUCGAAAGCAUAUAGUCUUUGAACCAGAAGAUUGGAUUUGGGUUCAUUUGAGGAAUGAGAGGUUCCUACUGAAAGGAAGUCUAAACUUGAUGCUAGAGGAGGAGAUGGCCCAUUCCAAGUGCUUGAGAGAAUCAACGAUAAUGUCUAUAAAAUUGAUCUAUUAGAUGAGUAUAAUGUCUCCGCCACUUUCAAUGUUUCUGAUCUUUCUUCUUUUGAUAUGGAUACCUUGAAUCUUUUUGAGGAAGGAGGGAAUGAUACACACGCGGGAGGAAAAUCUGAGCAUCGUAAGGCGAAAGGGCACAAUGGAGAUUUCACACUUUCAAAAGGCUCCAUCACUAGGAUUGCAGGUGGGAGAUCACAGGCAACUUCCAAUUGCUUCCGGAGACAGGCACAAGCAAGGAAGCUAACUCAUGGAUCCCAACCGGCAUUAAGCAGUGGGAGCAGCCCCCUUUUAUAACUCCUAUCAGGUCAAUGAGUAGCGACCCUUUGUGCUUGCAAUUUUACAUUGAGCAUCCAAGUUUAUCAGAAUCACCAGUGCUUUGAGAAGGGAACUCGGAGCUGUAGUGCAUGUGCAUAUAUAUAUAUAACCAUGUUAUAGUAAGAAGCUUUAAUUAUGUUGCAAGUAACUAUAUAUAGUUUAAUGCAAUUUUCAAUUAGGUUUUUAUAGUUGAAAAGUUUUUAAUGAUAUUCUAUAAAAUUGAGUAACCAAGUCUUUUAAAAAAGCAUAGUGCCAAAAAAAAAAAAAAAAUUGGACAGAACAACUUACUCAAUUCAGCCAAAAGUUUGGUAGCCAUUUUUUUUCCCAAUCAACAUUUCAAAUCUAAAUUUAUUGGUUUUAUUGUC